rnacentral:lncRNA from 1 species
UGGGGCGGGGCCUAAGUGCGGGGCAGGGCGGGCUUUCGGGGAUGCGGUCUGGAUUCUGGAGGAGGCCUCGGCGCGCAGCUGGGCGAGUACUAACUGUUUGCACUCUCAUCAGACCUGCCUCGGUCAUGGGAGAAGUUGAAGACUUUCUGCAAUGCAGCAUCUUCAAGCAAUACACACAUGGAUGAAAAUCCUAAAGUUUGCAUGAAGGACCAAUAACGGUAGUUUCCCUGCCCCUCUACCAGAACCCCUGGGAUCAGCGCCUGCCUGCCUCCUUUCUUCUAUGUAAUCGGCGGCCACCUCCCCUAGCUCUUGCUGCUAACCAUGCUUCCCGGACACCUGCUGCCUUCGUAGUGCCUAGAAACAGGCAAAGUGAGGGAGCUCCUUUGCUAGAUGAUCUUCAGAGCCUCUCCCAGCUGUGACCAGAAAUGGAAAGCCAGAGAAGGUAAGUGACUUGCCAAACUUAUGGAAUCAGGGCACUCCAGUUGGUGGGCUGGGCUGAUAAACAGAAAUGUUACAUAAAAUACUUCUCUCCUGAUUUAACAACAAUUAACUUUAGGGAAUUAUAAAACAAGAUGGAGGCUGGGCGUGGUGGCUCAGGCCUGUAAUCCCAGAACUUUGGAAGGCCAAGGCAGGUGGAUUACCUGAGGUGAGGAGUUCGAGACCGACCUGACCAAUAUGGAGAAACCCUGUCUCUACUAAAAAUACAAAAAUUAGUCAGACAUGGUGGUGUGCGCCUGUAGUCCCAGCUACUUGGGAGGCUGAGACAGGAGAAUUGCUUGAACCCAGGAGGCAGAGGUUGCAGUAAGCCGAGAUCAUGCCACUGCACUCCAGCCUGGGCAACAGAGCAAGACUCAAAAAAAAAAAAAAAAGGUGGAAAUAAAAUAUUAGACAAAUAAAAAAUUUUAAGUUAUUAGGUAGAGGUAGCGACAUGGAGUGAACGGCCUUUCUCAAUUUCAUAAGUAAGAAAGAUAGAUAAUUGAUGGAACUUAGGCUUUGGUAAGUAUUUAUUUUAAAAAUUUAAGGGUAUCUCUUUGCUAGUAUAUAUAAUUCCCAAACUAGUAGACAGGGGGAAGGGAAUAAAGAAAACACAAUCAACUCAAUAGAAGGCAAGAAAAGAAGAGAAUAAAGAAGCAAAGAACAAGCAUGGAAAAUAAAACUCACAACGUAAAGUGCAAAAAUUAAAGGCACACGACUCAACAGCAAAAAAGCAAAAGAAGAAAUUUAUAAAUGGGCAAAGGACCUGAACAGAUACUUCUCAAAAGAAGACAUAAAAAUGACCAGCAAAAAUGCUCAGCAUCACAUAUCAUCAGGGAAAUACAAAUUAAAAGCAUAAUGAGAUGUCACCUUACACUGUUAGAAGGGCUAUAAUCAAAAAGACCAAAGACAAUGGGUGUGGGUGAAAAUGUGGAGGAAAGGGAACCCUUGUACACUGUUGAUGGGAAUGUAAAUUAGUGCAGCCUUUAUGGAAAAUAGAAUGGAAGUUUCCCAAAACUCUAAAAACAGAAUUACCAUAUGAUCCAGCAGUCCUACUUCUGAGUAUAUACUGUGAACCCUGAAUAUCUGAGACAGUUCUCAGUUAAUUUAGAAAGUUUAUUUUGCCAAGGUUGAAGACACACACUCAUGACACGGCCUCAGGAGGUCCUGAUGACAUGAGCCCAAGGUGGUCAGGGCACAGCUUGGUUUUAUACAUUUUAGGGAAACAUGAGACAUAAAUCAAUAUGUAAGUGUAAGGUAUACACUGGUUCUGUCCAGAAAGGCGGGAAAACUCAAAGCAGGGAGGGGGCUUCCAGGUCACUGGUAGGUGAAAGACAAAUAGUUACAUUAUUUUGAGUUUCUGAUUUGCCUUUCCAAAGGAGGCAAUCAGAUAUGCACCUAUCUCAGUGAGCAAAGGGAUCACUUUGAAUAGAAUGGGAGGCAGGUUGUCCCUGAGCAUUUUCCAGCAUGACUUUUCCCUUUAGCUUAGUGAUUUGGGGGCCCCAAAAUUUAUUUUCCUUUCACAAUACUCAAAGGAAUUGAAAUCACUAUGUCAAAGAGAUAUCUGUGUUUCCAGAAAGAGGUCCCAGUCCAGACCCCGAGAGAGUUCUUGGAUCUUGUGAAAGAAGGAAUUCAGGGUGAGUCCAUAUAGUAAAGUAAAAGCAAGUGUAUUAGUAAAAUAAAGGAAUAAAGAAUGGCUACUCCAUAGGCAGAGCGGCCCGAGGGCUACUGGUUACUUGCUGUUAUGGUUAUUUCUUGAUUGUAUGCUAAGCAAGUGGUGGCUUAUUUAUGCCUCCCCGUUUUAGACCAUUUAGGGUAACUUCCUAACAGGUCAUGGCAUUUGGAAACUGUCAGGGCAGUGGUGGGAGUAUAGCAGUGAGAACUCUCGUUGCCAUCUUGGUUUUGGUGGGGUUUAGCUGGCUUCUUUACAGCAAACUGUUUUAUCAGUGAGGUGUUUAUGACCUGUAUUUGGUGCCGACCUCCUAUCUCAUCUUGUGACUUAGAAUGCCUAACCAUCUGGGAAUGCAGCCCAGUAGGUUUGUUUCAGCCUUAUUUUACCCAGCUCCUAUUCAAGAUGGAGUUGCUCUGCUUCAAAUGCCUCUAACAUCUGUACCCCAUAAAAAUAGACAAUUAUUAUUUGUUAAUUAAAAAUAAAAUUAAAAAGUGUAUCAUGAACUGUGUUCCCUGUCAUUAAAUGUGUGCCUUCCCC